GACGAACGCUGGCGGCGUGCUUAACACAUGCAAGUCGAACGGAAAGGCCCUGCUUUUGUGGGGUGCUCGAGUGGCGAACGGGUGAGUAACACGGGAGUAACCUGCCCUUGACUUUGGGAUAACUUCAGGAAACUGGGGCUAAUACCGGAUAGGAGCUCCUGCUGCAUGGUGGGGGUUGGACAGUUUCGGCGGUUGGGGAUGGAUUCGCGGCUUGUCAGCUUGUUGGUGGGGUAGUGGCUUACCAAGGCUUUGGCUGGUAGUCGGCCUGGGAGCGGAGACGGCCACAUUGGGACUGAGAUACGGCCCAGACUCCUACGGGAGGCAGCAGUGGGGAAUAUUGCACAAUGGGCCGAAGUCUGAUGCAGCAACGCCGCGUGCGGGAUGACGGCCUUCGUGUUGUAAACCGCUUUCGCCUGUGACGAAGCGUGAGUGACGGUAAUGGGUAAAGAAGCACCGGCUAACUACGUG
rnacentral:rRNA from 1 species